CCUACGGGGGGCUGCAGUGGGGAAUAUUGGGCAAUGGAGGCAACUCUGACCCAGCAACGCCGCGUGAAUGAUGAAGGUCUUCGGAUUGUAAAGUUCUGUGAUGGGGGAUGAACACAAUGACGGUACCCCAAUAGCAAGCCACGGCAAACUACGUGCCGGCAGCCGCGGUAAUACGUAGGGGGCAGGGGUUAUCCGGAAUGACUGGGCGUAAGGGGUGCGUAGGUGGUUUAGUAAGUUGGCGGUGUAAUUCCGGGGCUCAACCUCGGCGCGAACGCCAAAACUAUUAGACGGGAGGGAAGGGGGGGUAAGUGGAAUUCCUGGUGUAGCGGUGGAAUGCGUAGAUAUUAGGAGGAACAUCAGGGGCGAGGCGACUUACUGGACUGUAACUGACACUGAGGCACGAAAGCGUGGGGAGCAAACAGGAUUAGAUACCCCAGUAGUC
rnacentral:rRNA from 1 species